UACGAAGGGGGCUAGCGUUGCUCGGAAUCACUGGGCGUAAAGGGUGCGUAGGCGGGUCUUUAAGUCAGGGGUGAAAUCCUGGAGCUCAACUCCAGAACUGCCUUUGAUACUGAAGAUCUUGAGUUCGGGAGAGGUGAGUGGAACUGCGAGUGUAGAGGUGAAAUUCGUAGAUAUUCGCAAGAACACCAGUGGCGAAGGCGGCUGUCUGGUCCGGUUCUGACGCUGAGGCGCGACAGCGUGGGGAGCAAACAGG
rnacentral:rRNA from 1 species